UGAGGAAUAUUGGUCAAUGGGCGAGAGCCUGAACCAGCCAAGUCGCGUGAGGGAAGACGGUCCUAUGGAUUGUAAACCUCUUUUGCCGGGGAGCAAAAAGCGGUACGCGUACCGCAUCGAGAGUACCCGGAGAAAAAGCAUCGGCUAACUCCGUGCCAGCAGCCGCGGUAAUACGGAGGAUGCGAGCGUUAUCCGGAUUUAUUGGGUUUAAAGGGUGCGCAGGCGGCGAGUUAAGUCAGCGGUAAAAUUUCGGGGCUCAACCCCGACAAGCCGUUGAAACUGGCUUGCUAGAGUGGGCGAGAA
rnacentral:rRNA from 1 species